rfam:Anaeromyces robustus strain S4 BCR32scaffold_308, whole genome shotgun sequence.
GGUUCUAUAGUGUAGCGGUUAGCACAUUGGACUUUGAAUCCAAUAACUCGAGUUCAAAUCUCGAUAGGACCU